AAGUCGUAACAAGGUUUCCGUAGGUGAACCUGCGGAAGGAUCAUUAACACGUUAUCCAUACGUUAACCAAUGAGAACCGUUUUCCCGUCUCCCUGUGCAAAGAAUGAAUUGGAACCAGUUUGAGGGAGUGAUGGGACUGAAAAGUCGGCCUUCCUGGUACACUUAUGUAGAUAGAAAUAUUUGCAUAGACAAUUGAAUUUUUGCAGAGGCUAUUUCUUAUCGCUUUGAUCUCCAUCAUGAUCGUGGCGGUAGGGAAACUUUCACAUUAUUUACCUUUUUUGCUAGUUGACUUUUUAUAUGUGUUAUUUUGUGAAAGCAAGGUAGCGCACGUUUAUUAAUUGAACGUUAAAAAAUACAACUCUUAGCAAUGGAUAUCUUGGUUCUC
rnacentral:misc_RNA from 1 species